AAUGACUCCAAGGUUUCUCACAGUGUUACUGGAGGCCAAGGUAAUGCCAUCCAGAGUAAGAAUCUGCUUAGAUACCAUAUAUCUGGUUAAUUGCCGGCACUAUGAAUCUUUACAAACGCUUGAACAUUGAGCUCUGCCUUGUCUAUAUUAUUAAUCGCUCUUCUGUCCUCUGUCCCCACUGUUUGGUAGCCUGUUUGUCCUCCUCACCACACCCCAAAUGUCCACUAACCAUGUCUCUCUGCCUAUACUAUUACAAUAUUGCCUCCAAUAUGUAUGCUUUGUAGACUUUUUAAUUCUUCGCUUGUGCUCUUGUAGUGAAUCAGUGCUUUUAUGGAGUGGUAAUUUUUCAGCUGUCUAAAUGCUCUUUUUCUGUUCUUUACUGCUUGACUUAUACUCCUCAUGCCACCAAGGUACAUUCUUUUUAACCUGCUCCCUACAACCCUUGAAAUUGUCUCUUACGCAGUCCGCAUGUGUCAUGGAACGGACAUAUUGUUGUUGUUUAAGAAGUGUUACUACCACCUAGUGGUAACUAAGCAGAAUGUCUCUUUUGUAGAGGAAGUGGUCUACAGGGAGUAGUGUGCUCUUUAGCUGCUGAAGUGACAGCAUUUGUAAUCUGAUGGCAAUCUCUGCAAUCCUGGUGUUAAAGUCCACAAUAUCGGCUUCAUCCGUAAGUUCCUAUACAUUUAAUGUGUAUUAGUAAGUUUGACACUGUUUUGAGUUAAAUCUUAUGGAGGCAGGUAGAUGCAUAUAUUUUUUAGCAGAUGCUUCAUCUGUGGUCGUGUAUCCUUCAUUAGAGCAAUGUUAUUCUCCCAAUGUAAUGGAACAUGUCUUCAUUGUGUAUUUUGUAUUCCUUUUCUUUGUACAGUUUUACAAAAAAGAGAGAGAGAGAAUUUAUUUUCAUCAUUAAAUCCUGCCAAACACAACAAGCGGCCUGUUUCUUGGAGGAUGAAGUGCUGGGAAUAAAAGAAUGUUAAGCUAGCUGUAUAGCUGAAAUUACGUUGCCUGCAACAAACUUUAGUGAGGACAGCAUAGUAAAAGGAUGACCACUCAACGUGGAAGUUAAGAAGAGUGAAGGAUUGUUAGUCUGCAUCACACUGCAAUGGAGGCCACAAGCGCCUUAGCACAAGCUUUAAAAGAAGAUAGAGCUGAAGGCUCACGAGAUGAAGUUGAAUCGGGGUCUAUUUAUUCACGCCACAGCUCAAAGAGGUCACGCUCUUCACGCUCAUCAACAAGCUCCAGAGUAAGCUAUGAAGCAGCCAGGGCGCGAGCCAAAGCAGAGGCGGAGAAAACCAGACUAGCAUUCACGGAAAAGGAAGGCGAACUGAGAGUCGAAAGGGCCAGACUAGAAGCCAAGAUAGAUUAUAUUAAUCUACAGAAAGAAGCUGAGGCUGCCCAAGCUGAAGCUGAGGUGUUGGAGGCAGCUGCAGGAGAUGUGAAUGAAUCCAACAACAAAGAAUUUGACUUUCUGCCUUUGCCAGAUAGUGCAUUGAAAAGGACUGAUCACUAUGUUACACAGCACACACAAGAACAAUUCCCACAAGAACCCAAAGUAGAGAAUGAUUCGACUUUGCCGCCAACAUCCACUCCAUUUCCAAGCUACAAUCAGAAUGCACAGCCCCAGCUCAUCGACAACGGAGCCAGCUUCCCUCAAAAUAAUGCUCAACCACUCCAUAUGAACUUUCCACAGCAAAAAGAUGAGCACUUCCAGCACAGGGUACUGCCCGACAAUCGACCACAUCUAAACAACUCCCACAAUAAUGACUCAUCUACAGAUCUUGCCAAGUUCCUUGCUAAAUCCCAGCUGGUUUCUUCAGGCCUAACAAAGUUUGAUGACUUACCCGAACACUAUGAAGCCUGGAGAGAAACGUUCAUCAACACAAUCGAAAGUCUGAGUCUAUCAGCAAGUGAAGAAAUGGAUCUGCUUAUCAAAUGGCUGGGUAAAGAAUCUGGUGAGCAUGCAAUCAGAAUACGGUCUGUGAAUAUUAGACAGCCUAAUGUGGGACUUAGAAUGAUCUGGGAAAGACUAAAUAAAAAAUAUGGUGCUCCAGAGGUGAUAGAACGAGCUCUUUUUUGUAAACUUGAGAGUUUUCCCAAGAUCCACAACAGAGAGAGUCAAAAACUGCAAGAACUGGCUGAUUUGCUUACUGAACUUGACGUUGCUAAACGAGAGGGUUACCUACCAGGUCUAGCCUAUCUUGAUACAUCAAGAGGUGUGCAGCCAAUUGUGGAAAAGCUCCCUUUAUAUCUCCAAGACAAGUGGCUGUCACACGGGUGCAAAUACAAAAGAGAUCAUCAUGUUGCCUUUCCUCCUUUCUCCUACUUCAAAGAAUUCAUCUGCAGAGAGGCUGAAGAGAGAAAUGAUCCCAGUUUUAACUAUCCAGAUCUUUUCACAAAUUCUUACAGAAAAGAAAGGUCAAAUCAAGUGAGACCUGUCUCCGUGCACAAGACAAACAUAUCUAUGGCUUCAGAGCCCAAAAUAGGAAAUCCCGAGAAGCUAUGCCCCAUGCACCACAAGCCUCAUUCUCUUCAGAAAUGCAGAGGUUUUCGAAAACUGCUCUUGGAAGAGAGGAAAAGGUUCUUAAAAGAAAACAACAUAUGUUUUCGCUGCUGCGCCUCUACGACUCAUCAAGCCAAAUCUUGUGAGGCCACCGUAAAAUGCGGGGAAUGUGACAGCGAUAAACACAUUUCCGCUCUGCACCCUGGACCAGUUUCACGCUCAGAUGCAGUUCCUACUUCCUCGACAGAGAAUGGCGGGGAGAGGUCGGACACAGAGGCACAGAGUGUCACAUCCAGAUGUACCCAGGUAUGUGGGGAUGGGUUUCAAGGGAAAUCCUGCUCAAAGAUCUGUCUAGUGAAUGUGUAUCCAAAUGGCCACCAAGAGCUAUGGCAGAAGAUGUAUGUCAUUUUAGAUGACCAAAGUAAUGUUUCACUGGCCAGAUCUGAGUUUUUUGACAUGUUUGGUCUCAAGGGAGCAACCAUGCCAUACACACUGAAAACCUGUGCAGGCAUCAUAGAAGCAUCUGGGAGAAGAGCCCACAGUUUUAUGAUAGAAUCGUUGGAUGGGAAAGUUACCAUGCCCUUGCCUGCACUUAUAGAGUGUAAUGAUAUCCCAAACAACAGGUCAGAGAUACCCACACCCGAAGCUGCAUGUCACCACCAUCAUCUUAAAAGAGUGGCAGAUAAGAUUCCACCGCUUGACCCAGAUGCAGACAUUCUUCUUCUAUUGGGAAGAGACAUUAUCAGAGCGCAUAAGGUUCGAGACCAGUAUAAUGGUCCACUAAACGCGCCAUAUGCACAACGCUUAGACCUCGGGUGGGUCAUUGUUGGAGAGGUGUGCAUAGGAGGUGCACACAACACGACUACAGUGAGUGUUAUGAAAACCUGCAUCCUGGAAAAUGGCAGACCAAGUCACUUUGCCACGUGUGAGAAUAAGAUAAAGGUAAAAGAAAAUCCUAAUGGCAAAGAUGAGAAAAAGAGAACCCCACCCAAGAGAGACAUCCAAAAUGCAUCGACAGUGACUAAUCUUGGAGAAACAGUCUUCAAUGCCACAGAAAAUGACAACCAGCUAGCACACUCCGUUGAGGAUUCAGUCUUCCUACAGAUCAUGGAAGAGGAAUUCUUCCAGGAUAAGACAAAAAGCUGGGUUGCCCCUCUUCCUUUUCGGCACCCACGCAAAUGUCUACCAAAUAACAGAUGUUACGCUCAUCACCGUCUGAUGUCACUGCGGAAGACUUUAGAUAAGAAGCCUGAAAUGAAAAUGCAUUUCACAGACUUCAUGCAAAAUAUGUUAGACAAGGGACAUGCUGAACUUGCACCACCACUCCAGGAGGGGGCAGAAUGCUGGUAUUUGCCCACGUUUGGUGUUUACCAUCCCAAAAAACCAAACAAGAUUCGAGUGGUAUUUGAUUCCAGUGCUCAGUAUGAUGGAAUCUCGCUAAAUGAGGUGCUGCUGUCUGGACCAGAUCUUAACAACAGUCUCGUCGGUGUCCUCCUCAGAUUCAGAAAAGAGCCCGUGGCCAUAACUGCAGAUAUUCAGCAGAUGUUUUACUGUUUCGCUGUUCGUGAGGACUGCAGGGAUUUCCUUAGGUUCCUGUGGUACCAGGAUAACGAUCUGAGUAAGGAUGUGGUGGAUUAUCGCAUGCGUGUUCAUGUUUUCGGAAACAGUCCAUCACCUGCAGUGGCAAUCUUUGGCCUGAGGAAAGCAGCAGAGCACCAAGAAGUUGAAUAUGGCAGUGAUGCGAGGCACUUCGUAGAAAGAGACUUCUAUGUAGAUGACGGCCUCCGGUCUUUUGCUACAACAGCAGAGGCCAUUGAUGUUCUGCGUCGAACACAGCAGAUGUUGGCAGCAUCUAACAUCACUCUGCACAAAAUAGCUUCAAAUCGAGCAGAAGUAUUGAACGCAUUUCCUGGAGAUCAAAGAGCAGACAAUGUAAAAGACCUUAACCUCUUUGUGGAUGACUUACCAGUCCAACGCAGUCUUGGAGUCAGCUGGAACAUAAUGAUGGACACUUUUGGAUUCAAUAGUCCUGAGAAUCAAAAGCCAUUUACACGCCGUGGUGUCCUGUCAACAGUAAACAGUCUGUUUGAUCCUUUGGGGUUCAUAGCUCCUGUUGCAGUGACAGGUAGACUGAUUCUAAGAGAGCUAACAACCGAGAAUGCAGACUGGGACGCUGAACUCCCUGAGGCUAAAAAAGAAAGUUGGAGAAGAUGGAGUGAAUCAUUGUCAGCACUAAAAAACCUGGAUGUUCCACGAGCAUAUGCCUCUUUCUCUGUUUCCAAAGCACAGCACGCCGAAUUAUUGAUCUUCUGUGAUGCCUCUGUCAAAGCAAUAUCUGCAGUUGCUUAUCUUAAGACAACGAAUGAACAAGGUCUCCAAGAGGUGGGCUUUGUAUUCAGGAAAUCCAAGCUCGCUCCCAACCCAGGCCUCACAAUCCCAAGACUGGAAUUGUGUGCUGCUGUCAUGGCCGUUGAGAUAGCCGAUCUAGUAAUGAGAGAGCUUGAUCUAGAUCUCAAGACAGUGAAAUUCUACACUGACAGCAGAGUUGUAUUGGGAUACAUACACAACGAGACUAGGAGGUUCUAUGUGUAUGUGAACAAUAGAGUGCAGCGCAUCCGGCAGUCAACACGACCUGAGCAGUGGAACUACAUUCCUUCAGAACUAAAUCCGGCUGAUCAUGGGUCACGUUCUGUUCCAGCCGCUGAGCUUGCCGACACAACGUGGCUAACAGGACCAGCAUUUCUAAUAAAACAACCAAAGGUAGCUGCCAGUGGCGAUAAUGGAUCAACAUUUGACCUUGUGAACCCAGAUGCUGAUGCUGAGGUACGUCCUGAGGUAACUUCGCUCGCCACACAAGUUAGUAGAGACAAGCUUGGCUCAAAACGCUUCCAGCGUUUUUCUAGCUGGACCACACUCAGUAAGACUGUGGCACAUCUGUGUCAUAUUGCUCAGUGUUUCUCUCACUCCUCAAAGAAUCAAAGGUGUGUAGGAUGGCAUAUGUGCAAAAGUGGCCUGUCAGUCGUUGACAUUGUCAGAGCAGAACAGAUCAUCAUAAAAUGUGUGCAAGAAGAAAUGUAUUCAGAAGAACUGAAGUGCAUCAAAAUGAAACAUGACCUUCCGAAAACCAGCACGCUGUACAAACUUCGACCCAUUCUCGACAGCGAAGGUAUGUUAAGAAUAGGUAGACGCAUUGGCCGAGGACAACUUGAAACUGGUGAAGUCCAUCCGCUAAUAAUACCAAGCCGCAGCCAUGUAGCAAGCUUGCUUGUUUGUCAUCAUCAUCAGGCUGUAAAGCACCAGGGCAGGCAUUUCACUGAAGGUGCAAUUCGCAACAGUGGUCUGUGGAUUGUUGGAGGGAAACGUCUCAUCAGCAGCAUUAUUCACAAGUGUGUUACAUGCAGGAAACUAAGAGGAAGAACCGAGCAGCAACAAAUGUCAGACCUACCCACAGAGCGCCUUCAGGCUGACCCUCCAUUUUCCUACGUUGGCCUUGAUGUUUUUGGACCAUGGGAAGUGGUGACGCGCCGUACCAGAGGUGGUCAAGCUCAGGACAAAAGGUGGGCUGUCCUUUUCACAUGUAUGUCCACUCGAGCCAUACAUAUUGAGGUUAUUGAAACAAUGACGUCCUCAAGCUUUAUAAAUGCGCUCCGAAGAUUUUUCUCCAUUAGGGGUCAUGCCAAACAGCUUCGCUCGGACUGUGGGACCAAUUUCACUGGAGCGUUCAAAGAGCUGAAGAUGGAUCCUGGCAAUAAGAGCGUAGAGGAUUACCUUCUUAAACAAAAAUGCACUUGGGUUUUCAACCCACCUCACUCCUCUCAUAUGGGCGGCGCUUGGGAGCGCAUGAUUGGAGUGGCAAGACGGAUUUUAGAUUCUAUGCUUCUUCAGGUUGGACAUGUAAAGCUCACUCAUGAGGUCUUAACCACUUUCAUGGCUGAAGUGAGUGCCAUUGUCAAUGCAAGGCCGUUAAUACCAGUUUCUACUGAUCCUGAGGCGCCUUUCAUUCUAACACCUUCCAUAUUGCUGACCCAGAAGGGUGGCGUUCCCUCUCCUACUGUAAGUGAGUUUUCAAAAGGGGAUCUGCUCAAGAAUCAGUGGAAAAGAGUUCAGGCCUUGGCAGAUACCUUCUGGGCUAGGUGGCGCCGUGAAUAUUUGAGCACAUUACAGAGUCGGCACAAAUGGCAAUCUCAGACACCUAAUCUCAAAGAAGGAGAUAUUGUUUUGCUCAAGGACGAUCAAACCAAGAGGAAUCAGUGGCCUAUGGGAAUUGUUGUCAAGGUUGUUCCCAGCAGAGAUGGACUUGUUAGGAAAGUUGAAGUUAAGGUGAUACGGAACCAGACAGCGAAGGUCUUCUCUAGACCAGUUUCUCAAGUAAUCUUGUUGUUUUCACCACAGGACAAUGACUCAUCAGCAAGCUAGGGGAUUGAGACUGUGGCAUAAAGUGGCAUAUCUUUAAUAUGCCAAGCGGGGAGUGUCAUGGAACGGACAUAUUGUUGUUGUUUAAGAAGUGUUACUACCACCUAGUGGUAACUAAACAGAAUGUCUCUUUUGUAGAGGAAGUGGUCUACAGGGAGUAGUGUGCUCUUUAGCUGCUGAAGUGACAGCAUUUGUAAUCUGAUGGCAAUCUCUGCAAUCCUGGUGUUAAAGUCCACAAUAUCGGCUUCAUCCUUUUACAAAAAAGAGAGAGAGAGAAUUUAUUUUCAUCAUUAAAUCCUGCCAAACACAACAAGCGGCCUGUUUCUUGGAGGAUGAAGUGCUGGGAAUAAAAGAAUGUUAAGCUAGCUGUAUAGCUGAAAUUACGUUGCCUGCAACAAACUUUAGUGAGGACAGCAUAGCAUGAUUACUGUCACCAGCUUUUUGUUAAAAACUUCUACAUCACUUUAUCCUCCCUAGGAAGUUCACACCUCAUCUUACUUAAUACUCGAAACUUUUCCCAGUUUACUCUACCAAAGUUCUAUGUCUGUGUUCUUUGUUAUACUCCUUGUUGAAAUUCUAUACCCAAAUUAAUCAAAAUAGGAUAACGAUCACUACCCAUAAUGACAUUACUGAGUACCUCCCAUGUAGCAAUACCUCCUACUUCUUGAGAUGUCAAAUCUAUUGCGCUUUCAGUAUGUCUUAGACUAUUAUAUCAAGUACCUUUACCAUUAUUGAUACAUACUAGCCCUACCCUAUCCAUAAAAUCCUACUAGUACUGGACUGACUAAUCUGUACCUUAUUCCAGUUUCCACAAAUGUGACCACUCCUUCCCCUUUACCAUCCUCACUAUCAUUCCUAAUAACCGUAUAUCCAUGUGUAAGUUCCACUUUUCCAAGGUUUUAACCAUGUUUCCUGGAUACAUAUUACAUGUGAUUUUUUUGUAACCUAGAAAUAAAAUGAUUAUAAUGAUUAUAAAAACUACCCCAUGACUUUGAGCUAGGAUUCAUAACACCUGUCAUUUCUUCAACUCUCUCCUAAUCCGGACCCAUGAUUCCCAGGUAUUUGUCUGCAGCCUGCACAAUUUGGGAUUUGUUCAGUUUUCUUGUCUAUUUGAGCUGUGCAGUUUAUUACAUCCACCACAAAUAACACAAAAUCCUUCUUGCUCAUAACCAAAGCAUCUUUCUUUAUUUUGGUAGGUCCUUUACAAGAGGUUGCUUUCUGUUUCAGUUUCUCUGACUGAGAAAUUCUCUUUACUGCUUCUACAUGACAUCUACAAUCCCUACAUCUAAGUUUUGUUUUGUUUUUGUUUUUCUGGACUUUGUGCAUUGCCCCUUUUAAUGCUAGCUAGCACUUCAAAUAACUGACCCUGAUUUGGAUGGAUGGAUUGUUCUUCAUCUUUUUGUAGCUCCCUUCAGGGGUUGCCACAGCACAUUCCACAUGUCUGCAACCAAAAUGUAAUAUAUGUAUAUAGCGCUGCAGAACUGUACCCCCCCUCACCCCCAGCAUGUUUACACUGAGUAGGAGAUGCUCUGUAUCUCAUUGUACAACUGUAUAGUG